rnacentral:ncRNA from 1 species
CGACCUCACAUCAGGCGAGACAACCCGCUGAAUUUAAGCAUAUCACUAAGCGGAGGAAAAGAAACCAACAGGGAUUCCCUUAGUAGCGGCGAGCGAAACGGGACCUAGCCCAGCACCGAAUCCCUCGUCCUUGCCGGCGAUCGGGAAAUGUGGUGUAUGGGAGGUAACGUUCCCGAGAGUUUUGCGGUGGUGCAAGUCCCCCUGACAGGGGCUUGACCCAGAGUGGGUGCCAGGCCCGUCUCCGCCACUGCUCUCUCGGGAUGGAACCUCCCGUGAGUCGGGUUGCUUGAGAGUGCAGCCCUAAUUGGGUGGUAAACUCCAUCUAAGGCUAAAUACGUCCGAGAGACCGAUAGUUCACAAGUACCGUGAGGGAAAGU